rnacentral:rRNA from 1 species
CCUGGAUCCAAAAAUUUCUUAGACGUUCUGCACUUCUUUCAACUUCAUCCUCAAGACAUCGGACCCAAUUCCGUGUCAAACAUCUGCAAUUUUCAAGUUUUCUGCGAAGUAUACCUUCAAGAGGAACCCAGUGUUGAACUCUUCAGGGAAUAUUUUUAUCUGAACCGGCAAAACGAGUUUACUAACGGACCCAGCUUAGAACUUGGUGGGGUCUCAAUUCAACGAAGAAGAGAUGUUAUCUUCCCCUAUGCUCGCCUGCCGAGUCACGCCAAAGAUUGGAACCAAACAUGGUUCUAUUGUAAAGAUACUUCUCCGGCUGAUGAAAAUCCACUGCCGGGUUAUCGUCUCCAGCGGCUCGACCCAAAGCAU